AGGAAAAAGAAGAAGAAAAUUUUCAUUUUACUUUUCUUCUUCAACCGCCAAGGUUUUCUCCAUCCAUUUCCACCACUUUCUUCACCAUUUCUGCACCAACUUUCAGAGGAAUUUCAAAGUGAAGAAGGCUGAGAAAGGAAGAAAAAGAAGUUCAAUAAUUUUUGUUGAAUAAAGACAAGGGAAUUGCAAGUAAAGCUUCAUUUUUGGCAGAAAUUGAUUCACACAGCACACCUAUAAUGUUCUGUUGAUUCCGAGCUACACAAAAAAUAUUAAGAGGUAAGGUUUACAUUUACUGAAAGCUAAUUCAUUUUCAAACAAAUUUUAAGAAGAAAGUUUGAGCAAAUUCGGAUGUUCAUUGGGUGAUUUUUGAUGAAGAAAGUAGGGCAGCUGGUUUUCACGCGAUUUCAGAAGGUCUCUGGUUUUUCUUAUUUUUCUAAGAGUACUGGUGGAGUUAGGAUCUCUAUUGGUAUGGUUGGAAUUAUUAUUCAAUUUACUACAACUUUCAUGAAGAAAUUGUGAACCAAAACCGACUAAAAAUAAGUUAAAUUGUAGGAACAAGUUAAAGGGGUCGUGUGUGCGCGAUUAUUGAAGUUAUUCUGUUUCGAGGGUAUCUGAGUUUAUUCACAGGAAAUCAGAUUUAUAUGUCUUGAGUUGUUUGACAGGCCAAGAGGAAAUAGGUCGGAUUUACACAUCGGGAAACUAGUUCAAGACUGUGAGUGACCAAAACCAGUUUUAAAAAUAUUUUCUUUCUCCUAAAUGUUCACUAUGGUUGACUGAUCUACACGUUUAUUUACAAAGCAUUGAAAAUCAUUUGAAGUCCAUGAUUAUUUUCAAGUAUGAGUUUCGAGAUGAGAAUUCUUACUGAAUGUUUAUGCUAGCACGUGAUUAUUGAAUAUCUGGAAAUUAUUUGAACCACUGUGUUUCAAACAAAGUAUGAGUUACCAAGUUUUGUUUUAAGAACUACAGCUUUUCACGAAUAAUCUAAGUAAGUGUAAGUUUUACAAAAGAAAAGGAUAGCAGGCAUGUUUUAAUGUUUUCAUACGAUUUUUCUGAUGUUUCUAUUAACUACAUGACUGAGGUGUUGAACCCGAGGCUAUAUGGUACCGUGUGCACACAGGUUAGAUUUCGUUGUUGACGUUGAGUGUACUCCGUAACAACGAUGUUGUCGUGAGUGCUGGACGGGCCCCACUACAUCGUAGAGCUUGUAAACAUUAUUGUACUUGGUGUACCCUACACAACGUAGAUUUGUCGUGUUAGUUAAAAUAUUUUGAUAUACUUGAUAAGUCUUGCUAGAUUUCAAUGACGUAUAUACUGAGUAUUUAAGGAAGCUAUUCUUACGAUUAUACGUCUAUGUUUACGACUUGUAUAAACAGAUUUAUAAGUGUAAGCUUUCACGUGCUCUUACUUUUAAAUUUCUAGUUCUAAACUGAGUCACUCACUGAGAUUUAUAGCUUA